rnacentral:rRNA from 1 species
GAUGAACGCUGGCGGCGUGCCUAAUACAUGCAAGUCGAGCGAACAGACGAGGAGCUUGCUCCUCAGACGUUAGCGGCGGACGGGGGAGUAACACGUGGAUAACCUACCUAAAAAACUGGGAUAACUUCGGGAAACCGGAGCAAAUACCGGAUAAUAUAUUGAACCGAAGGGUUAAAUAGUGAAAGACGGUUUUGCUGUCACUUAUAGAUGGAUCCGCGCCGCAUUAGCUAGUUGGUAAGGUAAGGGCUUACAAAGGCAACGAUGCGUAGCCGACCUGAGAGGGUGAUCGGCCACACUGGAACUGAGACACGCUCCAGACUCCUACGGGAGGCAGCAGUAGGGAAUCUUCCGCAUUGGGCGAAAGCAUGACGCAGCAACGCCGCGUGAGUGAUUACGGUCUUCGGAUCGUAAAACUCUGUUAUUAGGGAAGAACAAAUGUGUAAGUAACUAUGCACGUCUUGACGGUACCUAAUCAGAAAGCCACGGCUAACUACGUG